GCCGCGUUCUCGAACUUGAGCGCGAGCGUCUCCUCGAUGAUGCGGUUGUUCACCUCCAGCAGGAUCAUGGCGGCGGCUGCCCCGGGCAGGGGAAGGAGAAACAAGGGCAGAUGAGGAAACUGAGGCACAGAGGUGAAUUAAUUGGCCCAACAUCACAAAGCCGGGGAAGCUUGGCCACGGACACAGGCACACAAGGAGGACGCUACGUGAAGAUGAAGGCGGGGACUGAGGUGACACUCCUACAACAGAGGGACACCAAAGAUGGCCAGCAAACCCCAGAAGCCAGGGGAGAGGCGUGGAACAGAUGCUCCCUCGCAGCCCUCACAAGGAACCAACUCAGCUGACACCCCGAUCUUGGCCUUCUAGCCUCCAGAACCGCGAGACAGUAAAUCUGUGUUGUUGAAG